rnacentral:rRNA from 1 species
UGAGUACGAGAUGCUACGGCAUCGAAGCAGUCUAUGUCAUACUUCCAAGAAAAGCUUGCACUGUCAUAAACAAAGAAUGCCUGUACCAUAACCGACACAGGUGGGUAGGUAGAGUAUACUAAGGGGCGCGAGAUAACUCUCUCUAAGGAACUCGGCAAAAUGACUCCGUAACUUCGGGAGAAGGAGUGCCUUAUUUAUAAGGUUGCAAUAACAAGAUCCAAGCAACUGUUUAUCAAAAACACAGGUCUCCGCUAAGUCGUAAGACGAUGUAUGGGGGCUGACGCCUGCCCAGUGCCAGAAGGUUAAAGAAGUUGGUUAGUGUAUGCGAAGCUGAUGACUGAAGCCCUGUGAACGGCGGCCGUAACGAUAACGGUCCUAAGGUAGCGAAAUUCCUUGUCGGGUAAGUUCCGACCCGCACGAAAGGCGUAAUGAUUUGGAUACUGUCUCGGAGAGAGGCUCGGUGAAAUAGACUUGUCUGUGAAGAUGCGGACUACCUGCACCAGAACAGAAAGACCCUAUGAAGCUUUACUGUAACUUGAAAUUGGAAUUGGACUUUGCUUGCGCAGUAUAGGUGGGAAGCGUUGAAGAUAUUCUUGCGGGAGUAUUGGAGCUAUCAGUGAGAUACCACUCUUGUAAUGUUAGAUUUCUAACUUUGAACCAUAAUCUGGUCAAAGAACAGUUUCAGGUGGGCAGUUUGACUGGGGCGGUCGCCUCCCAAAUGGUAACGGAGGCGUACAAAGGUUUCCUCUGAACGGAUAGAAAUCGUAUCUAGAGUGUAAAGGCAUAAGGAAGCUUGACUGUGAGACCUACAAGUCGAGCAGGGACGAAAGUCGGUCUUAGUGAUCUGACGGUACUGAGUGGAAAGGCCGUCACUCAACGGAUAAAAGUUACUCUAAGGAUAACAGGCUGAUCUCCCCCAAGAGUUCACAUCGACGGGGAGGUUUGGCACCUCGAUGUCGGCUCAUCGCAUCCUGGGGCGGUAGUACGUCCCAAGGGUUGGGCUGUUCGCCCAUGAAAGCGGUACGCGAGCUGGGUUCAGAACGUCGUGAGACAGUUCGGUCCAUAUCCGGUGUAGGCGUUAGAAUAUUGAGAGGAGCCUUCUUUAGUACGAGAGGACCGAGAAGGACACACCGCUGGUGUACCAGUUAUCGUGCCAACGGUAAACGCUGGGUAGCUAUGUGUGGAGUGGAUAACCGCUGAAAGCAUCUAAGUGGGAAGCCCACCUCAAGAUGAGUAUUCUCA